rnacentral:rRNA from 1 species
UACGAAGGGGGCUAGCGUUGUUCGGAAUUACUGGGCGUAAAGCGCACGUAGGCGGAUCGAUCAGUCAGGGGUGAAAUCCCAGGGCUCAACCCUGGAACUGCCUUUGAUACUGUCGAUCUGGAGUAUGGAAGAGGUGAGUGGAAUUCCGAGUGUAGAGGUGAAAUUCGUAGAUAUUCGGAGGAACACCAGUGGCGAAGGCGGCUCACUGGUCCAUUACUGACGCUGAGGUGCGAAAGCGUGGGGAGCAAACA